AUUGAACGCUGGCGGCAGGCCUAACACAUGCAAGUCGAACGAGUGGCGGACGGGUGAGUAAUGUCUGGGAACCUGCCCGGUGGAGGGGGAUAACUACUGGAAACGGUAGCUAAUACCGCAUACUAUCGGAUCUGCCCAGAUGGGAUUAGCUAGUAGGUGGGGUAACGGCUCACCAAGGCGACGAUCCCUAGCUGGUUUGAGAGGAUGACCAGCCACGCUGGAACUGAGACACGGUCCAGACUCCGACGGGAGGCAGCAGUGGGGAAUGUUGCACAAUGGGCGCAAGCCUGAUGCAGCCAUGCCGCGUGUAUGAUGAAGGCCUUCGGGUUGUAAAGUACUUUCAGCGUGGAAGCGUUAGUCGCAGAAGAAGCACCGGCUAACUCCGUGCCAGCAGCCGCGGUAAUUC
rnacentral:rRNA from 1 species